rnacentral:rRNA from 1 species
UACAGAGGGUGCGAGCGUUGUUCGGAAUUAUUGGGCGUAAAGGGCGCGUAGGCGGUGCGGUAAGUCACCUGUGAAAUCUCCUGGCUCAACUGGGAGCUUGCAGGCGAAACUGCCGUGCUGGAGUGUGGGAGAGGUGCGUGGAAUUCCCGGCGUAGCGGUGAAAUGCGUAGAUAUCGGGAGGAACACCUGUGGCGAAAGCGGCGCACUGGACCACAACUGACGCUGAGGCGCGAAAGCUAGGGGAGCAAACAGG